rnacentral:lncRNA from 1 species
ACUUGAUACCUUUCAAGUUGGGAGAGUUUGAUGUUAUUUUAGGAAUGGAUUGGUUAUCGAAGCAUAACGCUCAAAUAGAUUGUCGUAAUAAGAAGGUAAUGUUAAGGGCACCGAAUGAGAAGACGAUAGUAUUUCGAGGGCAGAAACAGGUAAAGAAGUUUUUGACUAUGAUUCAAACGAAGAGAUUGUUGCGUCAAGGUUGUGAAGCUUAUAUAGCAUAUGUAACUGAUC